rnacentral:rRNA from 1 species
GGGUUGUGAGGUUAAGCGACUAAGCGUACACGGUGGAUGCCCUGGCAGUCAGAGGCGAUGAAGGACGUGCUAAUCUGCGAUAAGCGUCGGUAAGGUGAUAUGAACCGUUAUAACCGGCGAUUUCCGAAUGGGGAAACCCAGUGUGAUUCGUCACACUAUCAUUAACUGAAUCCAUAGGUUAAUGAGGCGAACCGGGGGAACUGAAACAUCUAAGUACCCCGAGGAAAAGAAAUCAACCGAGAUUCCCCCAGUAGCGGCGAGCGAACGGGGAGCAGCCCAGAGCCUGAAUCAGUGUGUGUGUUAGUGGAAGCGUCUGGAAAGGCGCGCGAUACAGGGUGACAGCCCCGUACACAAAAAUGCACAUACUGUGAGCUCGAUGAGUAGGGCGGGACACGUGGUAUCCUGUCUGAAUAUGGGGGGAC